CGGUUAGAGAAAACUCAGAGAGUUAAGUCGUUAUAACUUUUGAGCUCUCUGUAUGCCAGGUACUGCCUUGUGCUACAGGAAACAAAUGGCAAGUAAGACAAUCCCCCUUCUGGAGGAUUCUCCUUUUACUUCUUCCCUUUAGUGGAUCUCUCUUUGGGUAUCUCUUUAUUUAGUCCACCGGUCAUGGAAUAUGCUUGCAGUGUCCACUGUCUGCCAUGUGUGUGGUCUCCCCUUCUUUGUCCAGCUCUGCUUUCUAUCACUCCACCCCUCCCUGCACCAGCAGCCUCCAGCUCCCACUCACCAUGCAGCAGAAUCAGGCCCUUUCCAAGCACCGUCCCACCAGGGAUGAUGACUCUCUGGCACUCCCCUUCUCCUUUUGCCCAGGAUAACCAAUCUGCCCCAGACCAGGGGAAAGAAUGAGAAGAUUUCCCACAGAUGCAGGCAGGUGAACCCCACAACAUCCCUGCAGGCUGUGGGAGCCUCCUGCCUCACCUUUGCCCCUCAUCUCAUGCUGCCUGAUUACUCUUCAUGAAGCAUUACUCUGAGCCACACCCCACUGACAAAGAUGACCCAGAGAGGCAUCCAGAGGUCUGCCCCAUGUCAUCCCAACUCCCCUCUCCCACCCCCAACAAACCUUCGUGACUGGCUACCUUCCCUGAGUGGCAAGAAGUUCCAAAGCCAUGUCUUGAGCCUUCAAGUCACCAGGCUCACGGGAGGCUCACCCCAGACUCUUAUAUUCUGGGUUCUAUGCUCUCAUUUGAAACCCUGGUGUGUCAUUGGCCCUGGUCUGUUCCCUCGACCUUCCUCAUUACCUUCCUUCCUCUCCUUCCCUGCCUUUCCUCUUCCUCCUCCUCAACAUCAACCAGUUUCCAUGACAGCCUGUUGUGUGCAGGGUAUGCCCCUCCCACACCUAGAACAGACUCAGGAACCAGGCUAUCUGAGUUAUAAUUUCGCGUCUACCUCUUCCCAGCUGUGUGACCUCAGGGAAACUAGUUAAUUUCUCUGUGUCUCAUUUCCUCCUCUGCAAGAUGAGGUUAAUAACUGAAAGAUCUCACAAGACUGUUGAGAAGAUUGAGUUGGUAUAGAAGGGUGCUUAGAUUAAUCCCUGGAAAUAGUUCAUACUAUGAAAGUAAGAGUUACUAUUCUAUUCUCCUGGAUCUGGCAUUCAGGAUUCUCAAGUUUAGAGGGAAAAAGACUUGAGUAUCUUAUCUGUGGUGUAUCAUUGAAACCAAACCAAACCUGAGAGAAGGGCUCUAAUCACUUCUCUUCCAUGGAAGAUAAAGUGAGGGCUUCUGGUGGUUUUAGACUUCCUCAAGUUCUUAUGGCCAACAGGUGGAAGAUCCAGGGAUUUAAUUUAGACUCCUUUGAUUCCAAACUUUGCCUUUUCUAAGACAUAGUGCUAUUUCUCUGAUUUGAUAAUCAGGGUACAGGGAUUCAGAGUUUGUAAUUCAAGGAGGUAAGACUGAGUGCUAGUGCUUUAGGUGUCUACAUUAUUUUGACUGAAAGCAGUUUGAGUAUAGUAACUUUUUUUCCUAGUCAUCAAAGCAUGUGAUAGAUGUCAAAAUCUCACUUCCUUAUAUCCCGAUCUUCUACCUUCUCAAAUCAGUGCUCUGGCCUCAGUCUGAUGAUGGGGUGUGUGGACUGGGAGUGGGGUCAGGUGAGUACUAGAGGACAACAACAGUCACCAAAUUAAUGAGUCACUUGGGACCAGGAAGUCCAGGGCCACCUGGAGAUGAAUUAUCUGGUUAAGAAACCAUGACCAGGUGGAUCAAUGGAGACCGAGGGUUUUGUGGUUUAUCACCACAUUGCACUCCUGGGGCUGGGGCUCAUGAGGAAUGGCUACCUUUCUCAAUAGUGUCCCAGUUCUGGAUUGCUAAGUCUUCAGGAGCUCAGAGCCUAGCUGGGGUGACAUAAGCUCUGGGGCUUCCCCAGGGAGCAGAUUCUGAGAUGGAGAUUAAUGUACAGGGAGCUCUUAGAAUAAAAAUCUGUGGGAGGGAGCAGAAGGAAUCAGUUAGGCCAAGGCACAAUGGAGCUGGAGUGACUUCUCAGUUGUCUCCAGAAUUGGGGACAGAGGGCUUAGUUUUAUACCCCCACACAGGUGCUCACAGUACACAGUAGCCCCAGGAAGUGGGUGUAACCUUGGAUAAGGUAAGCUGUCUUAGCUGAAGCCAUCUCCUAGGGAGCUGACAGCUGAGGACUGUGACCCUGAGCAAUUAGGAUACAUCCCUCAUUAGAGGAGAUCAGAGCGGCCCAUUAUAAUGUCCACCGUGGGCAUCUUCCCAAACAAGGAGGUCAAGGCAAAGAAGACAGGCAUGAGACAAUGCCUGGACUGAGUUUAGAGAAACUCAAACAAGUCAGCAGUGGGGCAUAAUGAUGACCCUGAAAAGGGACAGGACCAGAUCUGAAGGUCUGCUCUGCUCUGUCACGCUAAUGAGUUGAGUUUUUAAUUAAGGGGAUGGGGAUCCUUGUAAAGGAUUUUAGGACAAUGUAGGACAUAAUUGAAAUAUGCAUUUUGGUAUAAUCCUAAAGCUCCCACUUUCUUUCUAGCUGUGUUGCCAAUAAGUCACUCAACUGCUCUAUACCUCAGUAUCCUUAUAGGUAAAAUGAAGAUGAUGAUAAUAGCACCUGCAUCGUAAGAUUAGUGUAAGAUAAUAUAGGGCAGGCUGGCACAUGGGAGUCCUCUGUGAAGAUUAGCUAUUAUGAUUAGCUGUCACAGGCUGGGAUGGGGUAGGAGGAAAUGACUGGCUACUGCAGGUAUUGAAGAAUGAUAGGGCAGAAACAGUAGAAGUCAGUUUAAAAGCUUUUAAGUGGCAAACUCACAGGACUUAGUGAUUGCUUGGGUGAAGGAGGGAAUGAAAUAGAGGGCAUUCAGUGACCCCAGGUUUCUGAUUCCUUGCCUACUUCAAGGAAUACACUGACAGAUUUGGGGUUAGGUGAGGUGAUAAGUUCAUUGUGAGCUGAAAUGAGACUCCUGAGGGACUUCCAGUGGGGGAUGCUGGUCAGUUGUUAGCUGCUGAGCUCUGAAAGAGGUCUGAAUGAAAAAUGAAGUAUAGGGAUUAUUUGUGUGAAAGUGGGAAGGGGAGCCAUGGGCCUGGAUGCAAUCAUCAGGGCCAGCAUGUGGAGAAGGGAGAGUUGUGGGCUGCAGGUGGAACUCUGACAAACACUGUCAUUAUGGAGAUCAUGUAAGGGAGCUAUAAGAGGACACAAAAAGAUGCUGCUGUCAUGAAUGCCAAAAGAAAAAGGAGACCCAGUAAGGUACCAGCCAGCAUAGCUCAGGACCACAGAUAGCAAGAAAGAGAAAGGUGGCAGAGUCUGCUGAAGAGGGCAAAAGGUUCCUGGGGGUUGAGCUUGAGGAGAGCACCUUUAUCAAAGCGGUUAGUGGAAGGCAGGUUGUGAUGGUUUGGAGAAAGUAGAUGAAGCUGAAGGUUGCCCAUUUCUGAGUGCAUAAUGUAGACCAAGAGAUUCACAGGGGCAAUGCUGGGACCAGUCCAAAUGCAGUCUUUCCAAAUGGUCUUUGCUUGUGUUCCUUCUCUUGUGUUUCCAGCCACAGUUGGCCUGGUAUCUACCAAUGUUAUCUCUGUGUUCCUACCCUACCUCCUCUACCAGACUGAAAGCUCCUUCAAGAAAGGAUCUGCAUCCACAUUUGGGUUCAUCCCCAUGCCAAAUAUGGUACUGACUGGAUCUGAGGUGAUUAGCAUUUGCUGAUAGAGUGAAUUAAUGAUCCAGGGUGAGACCAUAAAAUUUCCUGCUGUGCAGAUUGGCCAGUCAGCAACAGGAGUCGCGAAACUAUGUUCUAGAAGAUGUGUGAUGGGAAGAGGGAUGCCUGAGAAUACCUUACCCCGUGGAGAUGCCAAAGUAUAUAAUGGACACUUGCUCCAGGAAAGAAAAACACAUUUUUAUCCAGUCAGCAAAUGAUUUCAGGAGUUUCCCAGAAACCCUGAGGCGCAUCCACAGACCUGCCCAGUGGUCCAUAGAUUCUGAGUCAAGAAUGUGCUUCCAAAUGUGGAGUAUUUACCAGUCCUGUGAAAUUGUACAUCACUUAUCUCUGGGGCCUCAAUGUAUUUAUCUGUAACAUGAGGAGUCACAAGGUAGAGAUGGAAAGCAUAAGGAAACUAAUAACCUUGCAACUCAUCUGUGCAGGUAUUUUAUGUACCAUAAAGAUUCUACUUUGUUAGGGGCUAGGGUUGUGGCUCAGUGGUAGAGUGCUCACCUAGCACAUAGGAGGCCCUGGGUUCAGUCCUCAGCACUACAUAAGAAUAAACAAAUAAAAUAAAGUUAUUAACAACUACAACUGAUAAACAAAUAAAUCAAUAUUUGUAAAAAUAAAAAAAAAAGAUUCUACCCUGUUAGUAGGUAGGAUUUAUCCUCAUUUUGAAAAUAGGGAAAAGGAGAUUUAGUUCAACAAACUUGACCAGGCAGGUAUGGUGACACACAUCUGUAAUCCCAGCAACUCGGGAGGCUGAGGCAGGAGGACCACAAGUUCAUAGCCAACAUGGGCAACUUAUAGAGACCCUGUCUUAAAAUUUAAAAAAAUAAUAAUAAGGGGCUGAGGAUGUUGCUUAGUGGUAGAGUGCCUGAAAGGCCUGGGUUCAACCCCCAGUACUACAAAGCAAAUGGAAGGGAGGGAGAGAGAGAGGGAAGGGGAAAGAAAUGAAGGAGCAAGCUCCACCCACAGCCUGGGCUCUGUCCUGAGUAGACUGUGUGCCUACCAGGUAUAACAGUGUCCAUGUCUGCCUGCCCACCCUGGCAUGGUCGUGCACUGAUGGACAUGAAAACUGGUUGGAAACUGGAAAGCACUUAUACAAACAGAAGGUACCACGUUGGUGUCAUCAUUAUUGAUCACUCUGUAUCUUGAAAUCCUUUUUUUGGCAUCUGUUAUAUUUUUCUUCCCAACUUCAGGCUGCUGCUUCCUUAUUUCUGGCACCUCGUCCUGUUUCUUCACAUCUCCUGAAAGUAGGUUUUCUUUAAGCUUCCACCUCUUUUUGUCCUUUGCUCUCUAAAUUCCCUCUUCCUACAACUUCAACUUCCUGCAACUUUAACCUCUGACCUCCAAACAGUUGACUCUCAAAUCUGUAUACUAGUCCAGAGUCUUGUUUCAACAACUUUCUGGGAGUUUAAUCACUGAAAUCCAUGGCUUUCAGACUUUAUUGUGCAUCAGAAUCACCUGGAGCAUUUGUCAAACAGAUUUUGGAGUCCAAAUGUCUGAUUUAGGCCAGUAGCCGUGGGGUGGAGCUAAGGAAUUUUUUAUAGCAUUAUUAAGAUAUAACUGACACUGGGCCUGGUGGCACAUGCCUAUAAUCCCGGUGGCUUGGGAGGCUGAGACAGAAUGAUCACAAGUUCAAAGCCAGCCUCAGCAACAUAGCGAGGCACUAAGCAACUCAGUGAGACCCUUCCUCUAAAUAAAAUACAGUAUAGAGCUUGGGAUGUGGCUCAAUGGUCAAGUGCCCCUGAGUUCAAUCCUUGGUACCUACCCCCCUCAAAAAAAAAAAAGAAAGAAAGAUAUAACUGACAUACAACAAACCACAAAUAUUUAAAGUAAGCAAUUUGAUAAGUUUUGAGAUGUGAGCACAUCUAUGAAACCAACACAACAAUCAAGAUAAUGAACAUUUCCAUUCCCACCCUCCAUGUCUCCUUUUCCUUAUUUAUGAUCCCUUUUUCCCUCCCCUCAACAUCCAGCCCCAUCCCUAGGCAACCACGAAUUUGUUUCUGGCACAAUAGAUUAGUUUGCAUUUUCUAGAAUUUUGUGUGAAUGGAAUCAUAUGAUAUGUACUAUUUAUUGUUUCUGGCUUAUUUCACUCAGCAUAAUUAUUUUGAGAUUCAUCCACAUGUUGCGUGGGUCAAUGGCUCAUUCCUUUUUAUUACUGAGUAGUAGUCCAUUGUAUGAAUAUACAACGAUUUGCUUCUCCAUUCACUUGUCGAUGGACAUUUGGAUUGUUUCCAGUUUGGGGCUAUCACAAAUAAAGCUGUUAAAAUCUGUGUUUUUCUUUCUCUUGGGAGUGGAAUGGCUAAACCACUAGUAAGUGUAUAUUUAACUUUAUAGAAAACUGCCAGACUGUUUUCCAAAUUGAUCCAUUUUAUACACUUACCAUCAAUGUAUGAAAUUCUAAAUGCUCCACGUUCUUGCCAACAUCUAGUAUGGUCAGUCUUUUUAAUUUUAGCCAUUGCAGUGGGAGUGUAGUGGUAUAUCAUUGUGAUUUUACUUUGUGUUUUCUUUUCCUUUAUUAUUAGUGCAUUUUAAUUAUGCAGACAAAUGGAUUUUAUUUUUGCAGUAUGUAUAUAUAUGUGUGUGUGUGUGUAUAUAUAUAUAUAAAAACAUAUUUUGAACUUCUCAUUUUUUAUUUGUUCUUUUUAGUUAUACAUGACAGUAGAGUGUAUUUUGACAUAUUAUACAUGGAGUAUAACUUCCCAUUCUUGUGGUUUUAUAUGAUGUGGAGUUACACUGGUUAUGUAUUCAUAUAUAAACAUAGGAAAGUUAUGUCUGAUUCAUUCUACUGUCUUUCCUAUUCUCAUUCUCCCUUCAUUCCCCUUUGUCUAAUUCAAGUACUUACAUUUUUCCUGAUCCUCCCCCCCACCACCACACACACAUUGUGUGUUAGCAUUCACAUAUCAGAGAGAACAUUUGGCCUUUGGUUUUUUGGAACUGGCUUAUUUCACUUGCAUGAUAGUGUCCAUGAACUUCUCAGUUUUUAAAUGUCUGACCAUGUUGAGAAGGUUUUUCUGUUGUUAUUUGCCAUCAAUUUAUCUUAGAUUGCCUGUCAAAUCUUUUUCAUAUUUUAAAAAUUGGAUGCUGUCUUCUUAACUAUUCCAUUGCAUUCUUUUUAUACUCUAGCACUUUGUUGGACGUAAGUUUUACAAAAAGUUUCUCCUUGUAUAUGGAUUGCCUUUUC
rnacentral:lncRNA from 1 species